GAUUUUAUAUAUAUAUACACACACACACACAAAUACACACACUCCAAAAUUAAGCGUGCUUGAGCGAAAGUAGUACUAGGAUGGGUGACCCCCUGGGAAGUCCUCGUGUUGCAUCCU
rnacentral:rRNA from 1 species